rnacentral:rRNA from 1 species
GAGUAAUGUCUGGGAAACUGCCUGAUGGAGGGGGAUAACUACUGGAAACGGUAGCUAAUACCGCAUAACGUCGCAAGACCAAAGAGGGGGACCUUCGGGCCUCUUGCCAUCGGAUGUGCCCAGAUGGGAUUAGCUAGUAGGUGGGGUAACGGCUCACCUAGGCGACGAUCCCUAGCUGGUCUGAGAGGAUGACCAGCCACACUGGAACUGAGACACGGUCCAGACUCCUACGGGAGGCAGCAGUGGGGAAUAUUGCACAAUGGGCGCAAGCCUGAUGCAGCCAUGCCGCGUGUAUGAAGAAGGCCUUCGGGUUGUAAAGUACUUUCAGCGGGGAGGAAGGGAGUGAAGUUAAUACCUUUGCUCAUUGACGUUACCCGCAGAAGAAGCACCGGCUAACUCCGUGCCAGCAGCCGCGGUAAUACGGAGGGUGCAAGCGU